GACGAACGCUGGCGGCGUGCUUAACACAUGCAGGUCGAACGGAAAGGCCCUGCUUUUGUGGGGUGCUCGAGUGGCGAACGGGUGAGUAACACGUGAGUAACCUGCCCUUGACUUUGGGAUAACUUCAGGAAACUGGGGCUAAUACCGGAUAGGAGCUCCUGCUGCAUGGUGGGGGUUGGAAAGUUUCGGCGGUUGGGGAUGGACUCGCGGCUUAUCAGCUUGUUGGUGGGGUAGUGGCUUACCAAGGCUUUGACGGGUAGCCGGCCUGAGAGGGUGACCGGCCACAUUGGGACUGAGAUACGGCCCAGACUCCUACGGGAGGCAGCAGUGGGGAAUAUUGCACAAUGGGCGGAAGCCUGUUGCAGCAACGCCGCGUGCGGGAUGACGGCCUUCGGGUUGUAAACCGCUUUCGCCUGUGACGAAGCGUGAGUGACGGUAAUGGGUAAAGAAGCACCGGCUAACUACGUG
rnacentral:rRNA from 1 species